rnacentral:rRNA from 1 species
CCUACGGGAGGCAGCAGUAGGGAAUAUUGCUCAAUGGGGGAAACCCUGAAGCAGCAACGCCGCGUGGAGGAUGAAGGUUUUAGGAUUGUAAACUCCUUUUGUUAGAGAAGAUUAUGACGGGAUCUAACGAAUAAGCACCGGCUAACUCCGUGCCAGCAGCCGCGGUAAUACGGAGGGUGCAAGCGUUACUCGGAAUCACUGGGCGUAAAGAGUGCGGAGGCGGGGUAAUAAGUCAGAUGUGAAAUCCUGUAGCUUAACUACAGAACUGCAUUUGAAACUGUUACUCUGGAGUGUGGGAGAGGUAGGUGGAAUGCUUGGUGUAGGGGUAAAAUGCGUAGAGAUCAAGAGGAAUACUCAUUGCGAAGGCGACCUGCUGGAACAUUACUGACGCUGAUGCACGAAAGCGUGGGGAGCAAACAGGAUUAGAUACCCCGGUAGUC